AGCGAACGUUAGCGGCGGGCUUAACACAUGCAAGUCGAACGAGAAUGAGGGGGCAACUCCUCUAGUAAAGUGGCGGACGGGUGCGUAACACGUGGGUAAUCUACCUUUCCGGCGGGGGACAACAGUCCGAAAGGAUUGCUAAUACCGCAUACGUCGGCGGGAUCUCCGGAUCCUGUCGGGAAAGACGGCCUCUCCUUGGAAGCUGUCACCGGAAGAUGAACCCGCGGCCCAUCAGCUUGUUGGCGAGGAACGGCUCACCAAGGCUAAGACGGGUAGGCUGGUCUGAGAGGAUGAUCAGCCACACUGGGACUGCGACACGGCCCA
rnacentral:rRNA from 1 species